GUGCUCACCUCAGCGGCACAUGUAAUAAGAUUGGAAUGACACGGUGAUCAGUGAGGCCCCGACACAAGGGUGACAUGCAGGUUCAAGAAGCGUUCCAUAUUUUG